UACGGAGGAUCCGAGCGUUAUCCGGAUUUAUUGGGUUUAAAGGGAGCGUAGGUGGAUUGUUAAGUCAGUUGUGAAAGCCCCCGGCUUAACCGAGGAAUUGCAUCGGAAACUGUGUUUCUUGAGUGCAGAAGAGGAGAGUGGAACUCCAUGUGUAGCGGUGGAAUGCGUAGAUAUAUGGAAGAACACCAGUGGCGAAGGCGGCUCUCUGGUCUGUAACUGACGCUGAGGCUCGAAAGCAUGGGUAGCGAACAGG
rnacentral:rRNA from 1 species